CUCGUAUGUUACUCGUAUGUACUCGUGUGUUACUCGUAUGUACUCGUAUGUUACUCGUAUGUACUCGUGUGUUACUCGUAUGUACUCGUAUGUACUUGUGUGUUACUCGUAUGUUACUCGUAUGUACUCGUGUGGUGUUUUAGUCACGAUCGACUUAAAAAAGGCUGAAAAAGUUUUUUGGACCAUAUCCGCGUUUUAUCCCUUUGGAUAAAUCGCGGAUAUCACUUAAAAAGGGCUGAAAAACGAUUUUUGGACCAUAUCCGCGUUUUAUCAAACUAACAUUCUGCGAGUCAACAUGGCGGUCAUGCCAAAUGAUAGCUCCGAUAAAAAUAUAUUAAACCAGCUCCAAAAUAAUUUCUUUAACGUUCAAGACAAGUACAAGGUGCUUGUUGAAUAUGACAGUAGCAAUGACAGAGUGAAAUGGAACAGCAACUUUGAGAAUUUGAAAACUUUUGUGGCCGAUUUGUUUGGCGAACAAAGCAAGUGGAUUUCUCCUGGCGGGCGAGCAAAAUCCUUUCGCAGUAGCCAAGUCUCAAUUACCU